rnacentral:rRNA from 1 species
AGUGAACGCUGGCGGUAGGCCUAACACAUGCGAGUCGAACGGCAGCACAGUAAGAGCUUGCUCUUACGGGUGGCGAGUGGCGGACGGGUGAGGAAUACAUCGGAAUCUACUUUUUCGUGGGGGAUAACGUAGGGAAACUUACGCUAAUACCGCAUACGACCUGCGGGUGAAAGCAGGGGAUCUUCGGACCUUGCGCGAUUGAAUGAGCCGAUGUCGGAUUAGCUAGUUGGCGGGGUAAAGGCCCACCAAGGCGACGAUCCGUAGCUGGUCUGAGAGGAUGAUCAGCCACACUGGAACUGAGACACGGUCCAGACUCCUACGGGAGGCAGCAGUGGGGAAUAUUGGACAAUGGGCGCAAGCCUGAUCCAGCCAUACCGCGUGGGUGAAGAAGGCUUUCGGGUUGUAAAGCCCUUUUGUUGGGAAAGAAAAGCAGCAGGUUAAUACCCCGCUGUUCUGACGGUACCCAAAGAAUAAGCACCGGCUAACUUCGUG